CCUUAGUGCCUCUUUAGGAGUCUAUCUCCCCAUCAGACUGCAAACCCUUUCUCACACACAGAUGGGAGUCGGCAUUCCAGCCACAUUCAGUUCUCGCUUUAAUUCAAAUGCUAAAUUGGGAAGAAGAGCAGUUUCACACUCCAUAUUUAGCCUGGGAGAGGAAAAGUGAGACAGCGUGGAUGUUACCAGGGAAAGAAUGCUGGGGCUAGGCUCGGGGAUGGUGGAAAACCUACCCAAAGCCCAGGAGAAGAGCCUGGAACCCUUGUCAACUCACUCCUACAAAGAAUCUCCCAGAGACCCGAAUCACCCACUAAGAGACCCGGGUCCUUCCCUGCAGCAGCACUUCCUCACUUACUCAGGCACUACAUAGAGAAAGCCUGGGACUCCGGAGAACCGCUCAUGGUGUGAGGCGAGGUUUAGGCAAAGGGUUCUGAGGCCAGACCGUCUGGAAUAGAAUCUUGGCUCUACCUCUGACCAGCUCUGCGACCUUGAGCAAGUCGCCUGCCCCCUCUAUGCAUCCUUCGCCAUCAAUGAACUAAAGCUGAGAAGGAGACCGACCUCACAGGCACGGUGAGGGCAGACUCUGGGAGGCAGCAGGCUCCGAGCUUGCAAGCACGGAGCAAGCGCGUGCUGGGAGCGGUGGGCUUGGAAGACGAACGCGUCCAGAGAUGGAGGGAAGCCGGCACUGCGACACCGCUGCUUCCUUGGCGUUCCCGGGUUUGUCGGGAUGGGGGUAGCCGAGGACAGUUCCGAAUCAGCUAGAGAAAGUGAGGCACGCAAAGUUUGCUCAGAGAGCCGCACCGGAGUAGCAAAACGGACAUUCUCCCUCAGGAAGCAUCUUGCUCUGCCUGUCCUGGCCAGCAGGCUGUGAAAGGACGCACUAACGGCCCCUAAGUGAAUAACAGCACCCGGCCAAAGAACUGAGGAGCGGUGAGCUCAACUACAGGGAAACCCUGCUUCAUGUCUGGACUCACUGGGCUGUUUUUCUUAAAGGGGGGGCGGUGUCAGAGAAAGAGAAUGCCGAAAAGAAGCCCCUCCCCGGUUAAACCCUGACCUUCAGUCUGUCCCUCCUUCCGCGGGCACUACUUGCUUUAUUUUCAAAUAAAAAAUGAGAUUAAAAA